rnacentral:lncRNA from 1 species
UUUGAUCAAACAUUUGUCUAUACAUAAUGAAAAUCAGAAAAUGUGAUGAUAAUUUAAUGAGAUUUCUUAUAGUGUAUAAGCGCGAAAAUUUGACAUUUCUCUGUCAUCAAGGGAAAAGAAUCUCCCCUCUAUUUAAGGAGAAAAAGAUUGAGAAUGAAACAAAUAUAAAUCCAAAUACGUGUUGAUAAGAAAUUGGAAUGGCAAGACAUAACUUUUUUUUUAAUUCGACAUGUGCGAAUCUACUUUCUUCUUUUAUAAACAAAAAAACAAUUCGACAAACACCUAUAUUUUUACGAAAUCAACAGUUGAGUUUAAUUUGAAAAAAUCUAAAUAAACGCCACUCUAGAGUUUUUAAUCAAUAGAUCAAUCUUUAGACCGAUGAGACAAAGUCCAUUUUAAGAGGAGUUUGGCUAAUCUUAUAAACUGAUCAAAUGGACUCACACACAUUUUUUGGUUUUAACUACGAACUUGGUUAAUGUUUAAAGUGCUUAUAAGCUAAAAUCAGUCAUAAAUCAUAAAGUGGUCACCCCCAACUGAUGACUUUUCAGCUUAUAAGCACUUUUAGUUUGAUCAAGACUUCUACUAGUUUAUCCUUAAUAAUAUUUCGUAAUUCACAAAAUACUUUUUCCAAAAUAAGUUUUCUAACUUUCCCUUCAUUCUAUAUUCAUUUUUACCACUUUCGUUACAAAAAAGCUUUUUAAUUUAUAAUCUUUUGUAAAGUUUUAAACGGUAUUCUACUCUUUUUAAUAAAAGAACAACUUAUCAAUAUUUUUAACCAAACACAUCAACGACGUAUUAUCAAUUUCAACAUUUCUAUUCAAACACGUAAAUACUUAUUUAAAAACUCAAUUUCAACUCUUAAAAAUAUUUUUUAACACUUCAAGUUUAUCAACCAUUUACAAUCAGGUAAUCCAAACGAGCUCUAAGUCUACUUUUCUUGCAAGAAACAGCGAUGACUAAAUAUGUAUAGACAAUCGUAGCUUAAUUUUUUUAUUUUGUCAAAAAGGCUUUUGAAAGGUGUUAUUGAUUUAGAAUAGAAAAAAAAAAAACAAAAAAAAGGAAUAGACCAAACUUGAAAUAGAAUGCCCAAAGUAAAAGUUUUGAUGCAAAUAGAAAAAAAGUUGAGACAACGACUUUCCCUGUAGACAACGACUGCUUUGUCCCCACACUUACUUGAAUGCUUCAUGAAAUGAUAGUUAGGUCCACUAAUUUACCAAUCAGACAAUACAUACAAACCACGAGAUCACUCUCUACCACUGCGCCAUUUAUGAUACGACAAAAAUAAAUGUCGUUAUAGUGCCAUCUAUCUAUUUCACACUAAAAUGGAAGAUUCUUCCUCCUCUUUCCAUUUUCAAAAGUUUAUAGAAAGUAGUAGACAGUAAAAUUUGGAAGUGUAGCUCCUCACAUGCGACUUAUAAAUAAGUUCAAAAUAUACCUAACAUAUGACGGAUCCCACAUAAGAUUCUUUAUCAACCAGGAAAAAAUAAUAUUUUUUUUUCUCAUGUAAUUUCAAGACAUAUUGGUUGUUAAAUUCUUGAAUAUAAUAAGCAUCCACAUAUAACUAACAUGACAAUAUUUUAAGUUAUAUUGGUAUAAGAUUGACUUAAAUGGAGCGACAUGGACAAUAAAACUAUAUAACUAAUCUCAACUUGUUUAGUGUUUUACUAAUACAUAAUAAUAAUUGUUACUCCUAUAACAAACAUGUAAAUGUCUUACAUUAAUUAAGAAUCAUCUGGCUUGCAGAAGUCAAGAAAGUUACACUAAUGAGGUGUCCGGCGAGUCUAAUUUUAUUGAAAUUCUUAAUCUAUAUGUUAGCAUUCACUUGUGGAAAAAGAAUAGUACUCCUCAUUUUGUGCAAAGUUCUGCAGAGUUCACCACGCAAUGGUUUUUUUUCUCAAGUACUUAUAUUUGUAAAUCUUCAAAAUAAUACUAAAUCAAUAUUUUAGCAUUCACUUGUGGAAAAGAAUAGUACUCCACAUUUUGUGCAAACAUCUGCAGAGUUCAACACGCAAUGGUUAUUUUUCUUAAGUACUUAUAUUUG